AGAGGUCGCCAAGGCAGACCUUGGCCAGGUUACCAGAACAGCUGCCGGUGGUCGUUACGCACCCGCAGAUACCUCCCAAUAGACAUGUGUAGACGACUCCUCCGGGGCACGUGGGAACCGAAGUAGACGAGGCCGUACUCGUCGAUGUAGACGUCGACGUAGGCUGCGAAAAUGACGGUGACGGUGUCGGUGUCCCCGCUUCAACACAAACGCACGUAUCACCGACACACAACUUGACGAGGUUCCCAGGGCAGCUUCCGCUCGUUGUCACGCACCCACAGAUAUCACCCAACAGGCAGGUGUAGACGAGUCCGUCAGGGCAGGAAGCCGUCGUUGUUGGUGAACUCGUGCUCGUCGUUGUUGGUGAACUCGUGCUCGUCGUUGUUGGUGACGUUGGCGACGGUGUCGGUGUUCCCGCCUCGACGCAUACGCAGAGGUCGCCAAGGCAGACCUUGGCCAGGUUACCAGAACAGCUGCCGGUGGUCGUUACGCACCCGCAGAUAUCUCCCAAUAGACAUGUGUAGACGACUCCUCCGGGGCACGUGGGAACCGAAGUAGACGAGGCCGUACUCGUCGAUGUAGACGUCGACGUAGGCUGCGAAAAUGACGGUGACGGUGUCGGUGUCCCCGCUUCAACACAAACGCACGUAUCACCGACACACAACUUGACGAGGUUCCCAGGGCAGCUUCCGCUCGUUGUCACGCACCCACAGAUAUCACCCAACAGGCAGGUGUAGACGAGUCCGUCAGGGCAGGAAGCCGUCGUUGUUGGUGAACUCGUGCUCGUCGUUGUUGGUGAACUCGUGCUCGUCGUUGUUGGUGAACUCGUGCUCGUCGUUGUUGGUGAACUCGUGCUCGUCGUUGUUGGUGACGUUGGCGACGGUGUCGGUGUUCCCGCCUCGACGCAUACGCAGAGGUCGCCAAGGCAGACCUUGGCCAGGUUACCAGAACAGCUGCCGGUGGUCGUUACGCACCCGCAGAUAUCUCCCAAUAGACAUGUGUAGACGACUCCUCCGGGGCACGUGGGAACCGAAGUAGACGAGGCCGUACUCGUCGAUGUAGACGUCGACGUAGGCUGCGAAAAUGACGGUGACGGUGUCGGUGUCCCCGCUUCAACACAAACGCACGUAUCACCGACACACAACUUGACGAGGUUCCCAGGGCAGCUUCCGCUCGUUGUCACGCACCCACAGAUAUCACCCAACAGGCAGGUGUAGACGAGUCCGUCAGGGCAGGAAGCCGUCGUUGUUGGUGAACUCGUGCUCGUCGUUGUUGGUGAACUCGUGCUCGUCGUUGUUGGUGAACUCGUGCUCGUCGUUGUUGGUGACGUUGGCGACGGUGUCGGUGUUCCCGCCUCGACGCAUACGCAGAGGUCGCCAAGGCAGACCUUGGCCAGGUUACCAGAACAGCUGCCGGUGGUCGUUACGCACCCGCAGAUAUCUCCCAAUAGACAUGUGUAGACGACUCCUCCGGGGCACGUGGGAACCGAAGUAGACGAGGCCGUACUCGUCGAUGUAGACGUCGACGUAGGCUGCGAAAAUGACGGUGACGGUGUCGGUGUCCCCGCUUCAACACAAACGCACGUAUCACCGACACACAACUUGACGAGGUUCCCAGGGCAGCUUCCGCUCGUUGUCACGCACCCACAGAUAUCACCCAACAGGCAGGUGUAGACGAGUCCGUCAGGGCAGGAAGCCGUCGUUGUUGGUGAACUCGUGCUCGUCGUUGUUGGUGAACUCGUGCUCGUCGUUGUUGGUGAACUCGUGCUCGUCGUUGUUGGUGAACUCGUGCUCGUCGGCUUUUGGGUGGGCCUUGUGGUGCUUGUAGCGAUCGAAGUUGGUUUCGAUGUGGUGGAUAUGUUUGAUACUGUAGUUGCGCUCAAUACAGGACUUCUUACAGGUAUCAACGUCGAGACUACGGUGAUUAAUGCUGUUGCAGAUGUUGAGACAACAGCGGUCCUUGAAGGCGGUACAGUAAUUGUUUGCACCACCGUUGGUUCAUGACUUGUUACAACCGGUGUUGGCGGUAGCGUCCGAUGUACUGUUUGUGGCGGAGUUUGGGCCAUAUGGCUCUUCGUCGCCUCUGGAAAUGGAGUCUGUUGAAUUGGACGGGGCGUCUGAAUAGGGAAAACCUCUACACUACACGUUUCCGAGAGCAGCUUGCACUCAUAUGUGCAAAACUCGCCUAGAACUAUGGAAGUCGACGUAGUGGAUUCUUCACCAUACGAAGACGUCCACUUUCUGCUUGUUUUCCAAUCUAACUCAUUCUGUCGUUGAACAUUCCCUUUUUCAUAUACCGCUGUAGAAGACUUUGGACAUAUUUGCAGAGCCUCAAACUUUUGCACGCAAACCUUGCAUGUGUUUUGGUAUUUGUACUCCACACAAACUUCUACUGAUUUGAAAACACAUUCCUUCCUACAUUUUUGAAUAUUUUUCUGCGGUGCUGCGUCUUCGAAAGUUGUGUCUGAGGUCCAACGACGUCUCCAAGUCACUUUUCCGUUCCAGGGACCACCAUACUCGGGACUCUUUGUCUCAGGCGCUGCUGUUGUACAGACGAUAUUUUCUUUCGCACAGACCAAUAUAUUUUCAUACGCUGCGCACGUCUUUACUAAGCUACACGGCCCGACCACGGUCUCCGGCUCGCAGAACUGCCAUCUUAGCCCGGAGCUCGUAAGCGAUCUACUCUCUCCAUCAGUUUUGAUCGGUGAGCUCGCCUCUGUGGAGACGGUCAACAGUAUCGCUUGUGCGAUCGUAAUACAGAGAAUCACAGAUAAAGUCCGCGUGAACUUCAUC